AAGAAGGGGUGUGGCCCCGCCCCCUCCGCCUCUUGGAACGCCUCGCCCUGUUGUGUGUGAGGCUGCUCCAGUUGCCAUGGCAACACCUUUGGCAGCAUCCGAGGCCUUGCGCGCCCAGCCAGGCCUGGCUCGAGUAUUCUAAAGGCAAAACCCCUCUGAAAACUGCAAAUCCCAGGGUUCUUUAGCUUUGAUCCAUUGCAAUGGACGCCUUGGAUCUCCAGAGGAAAUACUCAGAAUUGCAAACGGAGUCAAAGAGCACAACGAAUUACCUUGGCUGUCCUACUAUAUUCCAAACAAUCCUGAAGUUCAAGUUUAUCCGUCUUGGAAGCAACCAGUGGCCUACAAACAAGGAAGGAAAUCUCAUUAGAUUCUCGUCCGCUCUCUCUUUUUGCCAGCCACCUUCUACGUUUGCAAUUUCACAGAAUAUCCUGGAAUAAAAAAAUGUCACUUUUCCAACCUCUGUGCACAUAAACUUGAUCCUAAAUCCCAAUCAUGGAUCUUGAUGAUGUGCAAGAAUGCUUCUAUGGGAUUUAUGCCCCCCAAGCAGUGAUGUUCCUGACAUCGUGGACAUAGGUGAUGUUUCCUUCGUGCCGCACGGUCCCCACGGCUAUGGAUUCUUCGCAGAUCUCAGAGGCAACGUAUUUCUCCACCUUGAUGCCCAGGUCCCUCAGGACCAGGUAGCCUAAAGGGUCAAACCACAGCGUCAGAAAAGACCCUGAAGACCAUCCAGUCCAAUCCAUUUCUGCCAGGAAGGAAGGGACAAUCUUCCAACAAAUGGCCAUACCAGCCUGUUUUGGAACCCUUCAGAAGACAUUGAUUUUCCAGUGAACCCCAACUCUAAUUCUGAUUUGUUCCAUCAAAUAUAUAUCCUGGGUCACUUUAUGCAAAUAUGUCUCCCAUUUUCCUAUAAAAUGCCUGGUUCUUGAGUAAGCUUUCCUUUGACAUGUUUCACUUCUAUGGGAGUUCUGCAUCCCUAACCCAAGCAAAUGUAGAGAAUAUAGAAACACUCUCAAGAUAUGAUGUAUCACACAUAACUUCCAAGUAUUAUUUGGUUGACUGGAGAUGGAAGAAGGUGCUGGACAUGAGAAGCCUUUAGGGCAAUCCAUCCUCUAGAUCAGCAUUUCUCAACCUGGGGGUCUGGACCCCUUGGGUGGCGGGUCAGUGAGUGGCACUUCAGAAAACACCUAUUUCCGAUGGUCUUAGGAACCCAAAUCCCUUCAAUAUUUUAUGUUGGCCAUGGGGUUCUGUGUGGGAAGUUUGGCUCAAUUCUAUCAUUGGUGGGGUUCAAGGGGCUCUUUGAUUGUAAAAGGUAAACAUUUCUCCUGA